CGAGGGGUACGCGACUGGCGAUAGGCGCGGUGCAUCCGCGAAGGCGGACGCCGCCGCUGACGUGGAAACCGGCAGGCACUUUCACCUGCGAACCACUGGGAAGCGUGCCGCACGGGCUGCAAGGCCCGUUGUGUUCCGCCGUUCGCCUGGGCAGCCCUU
rnacentral:ncRNA from 2 species